CCUACGGGUGGCAGCAGUGAGGAAUAUUGGUCAAUGGCCGAGAGUCUGAACCAGCCAAGUAGCGUGAAGGCUGACUGCCCUAUGGGUUGUAAACUUCUUUUAUAUGGGAAUAAACUGUUCCACGUGUGGGAUUUUGUAUGUACCAUAUGAAUAAGGAUCGGCUAACUCCGUGCCAGCAGCCGCGGUAAUACGGAGGAUCCGAGCGUUAUCCGGAUUUAUUGGGUUUAAAGGGGGCGUAGGUGGAUUGUUAAGUCAGUUGUGAAAGUUUGCGGCUCAACCGUAAAAUUGCAGUUGAAACUGGCAGUCUUGAGUACAGUAGAGGUGGGCGGAAUUCGUGGUGUAGCGGUGAAAUGCUUAGAUAUCACGAAGAACGCCGAUUGCGAAGGCAGUUCACUGGACUGCAACUGACACUGAGGCUCGAAAGUGUGGGUAUCAAACAGGAUUAGAUACCCUUGUAGUC
rnacentral:rRNA from 1 species